UACGUAGGGUGCAAGCGUUGUCCGGAAUUAUUGGGCGUAAAGAGCUCGUAGGCGGUUUGUCGCGUCUGCUGUGAAAACCCGAGGCUCAACCUCGGGCCUGCAGUGGGUACGGGCAGACUAGAGUGGCGGUAGGGGAGAUUGGAAUUCCUGGUGUAGCGGUGGAAUGCGCAGAUAUCAGGAGGAACACCAGUGGCGAAGGCGGCCGCUGGGCCGUAUUGCUGACGCUGAGGCGCGAAGCGUGGGGAGCAAACAGGAUUAGAACCUA
rnacentral:rRNA from 1 species